UUAAUUUAUUAUUUAUUUAUUUUUUAUUUAUUAUUUUUAAGUCAUUAAAAAUAUAUAUUUUACUUUGAUAAAUUAGAGUGCUUUUAAGCAGAUUGAUUUUUUUUCAAAAAUACAUUUAAAAAUGUUUUGAAUAAUUUAGCAUAGAAUAAAAUAAUAAGAUUUGAAAGAUAAGAUUUGGUAAUUAUGUAGCAAAUAAUGAUAAAUAGGAAUAGUUGGGGGUAUUUGUAUUGAAUAGUCAGAGGUGAAAUUCAAGGAUUUGUUCAAGACAAACAUCAGCGAAAGCAUUUACCAAAGAUAUUUCCAUUAAUCAAGAACGAAAGUUAGGGGAUCGAAGAUGAUCAGAUACCGUCGUAGUCCUAACCAUAAACAAUACCAACCAAAGAUAAGAGGUUGUAAAAAUUAUAAGAAGAUUUUUUUCUUUUUUAUAAAACCAACUCCUUUUGAAUUUUAGAGGGAAACCAUUGAGUAUUUGGGUUCUGGGGGGGAG
rnacentral:rRNA from 1 species